ensembl:rRNA 5S_rRNA 5S ribosomal RNA
UUCCACGGCCAUACCACAUUGAAUGCACCUUAUCUUGUCUGAUCUCAGAAGCUAAGCAGGGUCGGGCCUGAUCAAUACUUGGAUGGGAGUUCCAAAUUUUCAGUCCACGGGGUCA